AGAUCAGCCGCUUCUCUCCCCCAUUUAUUUAAACCCUUGGGAACACAUGACACGGCCGAGAUAUUUUGGUGUUCCUUCGUCUUUCCCUCUCGAUUCUUCCCCGCUCCUUGGAUUCAAUCUCUCUCUUGGCCUUCCUUUAGAACUCUUGCUACGUCGUUGCUCUCGCAUUUCCUUAUUGUUGGAUCGGUUCUUGGGGUUAUGCGUGAUUUGCUGUCGGAUUGUGGCCGGAGGGUAGGUCAGUUUGAGUUUGAGAAAUGGAAGAGAGAGGGAGAGGGAGAGUUAUGGAGAGGAUCUGAGGGUGGAAUUUUUUGGCCUGGGGAGGGGAUCUCAGCCAAUGCAAGAGGACGUAACAAGCUCGAGGUGGCAACUGCAUAACUUGCAAGAAAUUCCAUGGGUGAAGUGAGCAUACCGGUGACUUUCUUGCAAGUUAUGCAGUUGCUGCCUCAAGCUUGCUGCCUCCCUUUGCCAAAACUAAAAUAUGUCCUUGUUUCCACAGCUUUGUUUGGCUCUAGAGGGUUGCUAAGAUGAAUCUCGUCUAGUUUAUCAUGUCCUAAAUUGGCUUCUUAAAGAAUUCUCAGGCAAACACACUCAAUAGUUAUAACUUAGUUGGACCACAGCAAGUAGAUUGAAAUAAGACCCAGCAGGUACAUCUCCAUUACCUGAUGUUCUAUUUCAGAAAACUAUGGUCUUGUUGAGAACUAUUUCCAGCAUUCUCCACAAUACUUCUCCAAACAACUUGGUCAUCUCUGGUAAAAGUGUAAGAAGCUGAUACUUUUUGAAGACAAGCAUAGACACUAUGGUCUGCCAAACCAACUCGAACUGCCCUCCCUGUUUGGGGCAUAUCAACCCAAACCAGUUGGAACUAGGUUGGUUCAACCUCUUGGUUCAAGAACUGGCAUGAACCAGCCCAAGUCAGUCUGAAUUGAGUGGAAUUGCUUGGUUGCACUCGGUUUUAGAGUGGUUUGGGUUGGUCCGGGCUGUCCUAUGAUGAAAAAGAGAGAAGGCCACAAGAUGCCACUCUCCUAUCUUUUCUUCAAAAAUUAUGAAGGAAAGUGAUGUAGCAUGAGUGAAGAGCGAUUAGAUUGACGGGAUUAAACUUUGAAGAUCAACAGACAAGAUGAUGGCACAUUGGAUUGCAAAACCCUUUGUUCGAUGAAGGGAGCUCUGUUUGAGAAAUUUUUUUAUUAAUAUAUCAAAAGCCACCCUUCAUACAAUGUACUAAAAGCAUAUAAAGGAUGACCCCAAAUUUAGGCAUUAAACCUGGUACAUAAUCAUGCUGGAAAUAGGAUCCAAUAAUAAGGAAACAUGCUAGAAUUAUUCAACUAGGAAUAUAGAAACCCAGCUAAAACCGCUGGCUUCUAUGAAACUUGGCAUGGUCUAGUUGGUUAUAGUUUUCGCAGACUGCACUCUUGUUGCAUCAUGAAGGGUGAGUUUUGUGAUGGAAAACUUGUAUAUUCUAUCGUAAAAUAUGUUUGUAAUAAAAGUUCAAAAUCCUUGCACUAAUUGAUAGGUAUUGAAGGGGAGAUGAUCCUGAUCAUAAUCAGUUUCCAAAUCUGUAGAGAAUGACAAAGUUAGGACAUAUAGAUCUUAUAUGGAUCCUCACUUGAAGAGGUUCUCUUCAAUUCAUCUAGAAGAGGGAUUACUGAACACACAACCACAAUAUUUAAUAUUUGAAUAAAAAUCUUGUCCACCAUUAAUACCCAUUUUCAUAACUUAUGCCAAGCUCUUAGGUGAAAAAACUCACCAUCAUCUGAGCUUUGUGUUGCUUAAUUGAACCAUUAACAAAUACAGAUGAUUUCCAUGAACAAUGAUUCGAGAAGGCAACCUCUCACAGAUUAGUAUGUCAUAGAAUUAAAUGCACUUUAACCAUAAACUUUUGUCAUUUAGGAACCUUAGAAUUCUCCUAUAAUGUUUUAAUCUUGAUGGGAACAAUGGUGCAUAAACAAAAUGAAAGCUUAAGAAAACCCUAAGACUAUUUGGUUAGACUAAUGCCACUCUAAUGGAUGCUGAUUCUAAAUUGGGAAGUGGGAAUUAGAGAGAGAUACAGAGAGGUGCAACCAUAAGAGACUAGGAGCAAGACAAGAACUAGACCUUGGGAUAUGAUGUCCACCUAUAUAUCAAGAUAAUAUGGCCUAUGUAAAAUCUAUGAAAUGAAGGCAAAAAACAAUAGUAAAGGGUGGAUGACAAGUCAAAAGCAUGAGUUCAAGAAGGUAAUGGUUGAAAGAAAGAUGUAUAUGACAGAGCAGGGCAUUAAUUAAUAUGCAUCUGUGCAUUGAGUUACAAGUUUAUGUUUAAUUAUUGCAGUUGUAUCUAUUAAUCAAUCAUAUAGUCUCUCAGAAUCAAUAUGAAAAAAAAAACUCUAGCACUCUUAAAAUAGCAAACUAGUACCGAAUUGGUAUGCACCUACAUACCGCAUGUCAAUAUGGUUCGACUCGGUACCAUACCAUAGUGGCACCUGACCUACAGUCUCUAGCUGAGAUUGCAGACCAUGGGUGACAGUGUCAGUUAAUACACCUAGGACUAUUUUGUAUACACUGCCUAAUUUCUUUGUAGCUUGUUGAGAGAUUCGUCUAUUUGUCCAUGGAAAUUUCACUAAAAACUCACAUAAGAAUUGUUAUUAGACCUCCUAUCUAUCAAUUAUCUAAUAUCCUCAUGAUAACGCGGCAAUGCCAUGAGGAUCUUGCUUCUAAACAGAAUUGUUUAACUCCAUCAUAGAAGACAGUUAUAGGCUAUUCAAAGUGGAUAGUCAAUGGAGCUAGUAAGAUAAACCAAAUGGCAUUUCUUGUCACCUUUAAAUCUUUAUAUUUAUGACCAUUUUGUCAUAUGCCUCUUCUGACAUUGGUAAAAUGAGAGAACUGGAGAUUGUAUUGCCUCAUUGCAAGAAAACCUCCUGCUAUUUUUAUAAUUAAUUUUAAAGCUUUUCUGCAUUAUAUUGUGGUCUUUAGUUGAAUUUCAUCUUAACCUUAUGUUGAAUAUCUAUUUCCAACACUGACCACAUUUCUCGCCAUUAGCAGUAUAUUAUCCAAGCAAUUAUUGUUGCCUGUAUACUGCUUUUGAUUUUUGUAUAUUCAUGGUAAGUAGCAGAAUCUAAAAGUUUGACCAGUCUAUUGAUUUCAUUUGCUCAUGAAUUUUCUUAUCCUUGUAAUGAAAUACCAAAAUCUAAGUGAAGGAUAUCUAGUUAAUAUAAAGGAGCAGCCAACUACAGAGUUCAUUGUUGGAUGUUGUUUGAUUGAGUGGUUGAAAUCUAUGAAGAAUGGACCAUCUGAUAAGUCUCAAAUAAUUUUCAAUGAAAGAACGUAUUAUAUUGUUAGGAUUGAAGAUUGUCACAGACAUGGAUGCUAGCGAUCACUGUGAAAUUUGCAAGAUGCAUUUUAGAGCAUUUGCAGAAAUUCAAAACUCAGAAGCAGUCCUGUUGAUUUAAGGUAUGGUUAGAACAUGGAAAGUCAAACUCUCAAUCUGUCUACCUGAAUGUGAUCUGCCUCUCUAUUUCUGUAGAAGUGAUGUUUGUGAGGUUGAUUCCGUCCUAAAUCUGUCUGCAUUUAUAGUUAAGUAUUAAUUUUUGGUGAUAAUGAAUAGAAAAGACAUAGCAAAGACAGCUUGAGCAGGAGAGCUUCUGUCAUAAUAUGUGGAAUUUUUGUUGGCAAAACAGUGUGACUAUCUAAUUUAGGAACACAUGAACAGACCUCUAAGAUCCAUAUGAAUUACAAAAGUAUGUUAUGAGGGGAAAGAUUGUAUCUGUGCGAUGUUAGAAGCAAAAUACUGAAACAAUAAGUAAAUAUCUGUUGCUACAGUACGAGAUUGAGGGUUGGGAAAGAUGAAAUUCCUUAUGGAACACCUAUCUAUGAUAGGUAUUUUGACUAGAGCAUCAUCUUUGUGGGGGUGGUCUUGCUAUAAGAUUAAAAUGGAGCAGACUGCUUUUAAUAGUAUAUUUGAUGAUGAUGAUGAUGUUAUGGACGACAAGAAAGGGAAAGUACUAUUUAAACUUGAUGAUUGUGAAAUUUGUAGUUUAAUUUAGACAGGCACAUGUAAGAGGAGGUUAUGUAAGAUUAGAUGAGAUUUCUGAUGAAAGGAUAUGAGUGGUGCAAUCAAUGAUUCUGAUUGUGAUGAUUUAGCAAGUAGGGUUCCAAGGUUGCAGCAGUAGAAAUGACAGUUAGCCUAGCUGUUCGAUUUAUCUAAUUGUAAAUUGUAAUUCUCUCUCUCUCAUUUUGAUCAGUCAUUCCUAUGUCAUGUCCAUAGUGGGAGUUACUCAUUGACACCAUUAAUUGGAUCAAGUACUCUUUAGACAAAGAUUAGUUUCCCAAGGCAUUUUACACCAUAGGUUCUAAUUAAUAUAGAUCAAAAGGAACAUAUGCCACAUGGCUUUUCCAUAAUAUACAGAGGUACUGCAGAUGCAUUUUUCAGUGAUGAUGGAUGGACAAAAUGCAACCAGCGAAUCAACAUGGAGAAGUGUAGGAUGACUUACUGAAAGAGAGAGAGGCAUGAUGCCUUCAUGUUCAUAUUGCUGUAACUACAUUCUUCUUUGGACAAGAAGCAGGCGUAAGAGGGAAAAAAAAGAUAACUUGGAUUCCGUUGAUCAUCAUCAUAAGACCUUCAUAAGGUGGAAGAUCACAUGGAUGGGGAAGACUAUGAUUGGGAUUUUUGAAGGCCAUCAGAGGUACUUCGUUCAUUUUGAUCUUUUGAAGAGUUCUUAUGUUUUGCUACAGAAAUUCAGAGAAAAGAGAGUAGUGUUUACAAUUUUUUUAAUGCUUACUUUCAAAAUUUAAAUUAAUUGAUAACCUCUUCUAAUUUUGAGACACUUGUACUUAUCACUGCAAGUUGAAUGUUCAAAAUUGAAGUGCUCCAACGACAUUGUAAUUAUCCAAAUCAUAGCUUGUCACAUAUGAUGAUCAAAAGCUUGGAUUUUAGUUUCUGAAGGACCUUCUAUGAAAGAUCACUUUGAAGUGCUAUAGGUAUCGGCUCCAUUUAUUUGUAAAUGAGAAAACACUUCCCAUCAAGCUACCUAUGGUUAUUCUUAUUAAAAUUGCAUAAACAAAUGUCCUUAUUUUGUUGUUCUAAAUGAGACUUAAGCUAUAGCAUAUCAUAGGGAAAUUUCUCUCCCCACUAUUCAUCCUGUUAAUGAUGAGAGCUUGGAACCCAAAAGUUCCCACAAGUUUUUCAUUUGCAAAUAAAAUGAGUAAAACUUGUAAAAAAAAAAAAAGAGGACUAAAACUACAAUAAAAGAUCAAUCAUAUAGUUGAUUGGUCUUUGUAAACUACCAACUUUUUUAUUUUAUUUAUUUAUUUAUUUAUUUCUCUUUUUUUGUGAGAAACAUGGUGGCAAUUAUGCAAUCUGCUUCAAAUGCGGGACCUCAAGGAGGAGAGGGGUGUCAAGCAGCUGACUCAAGUAUAGCACAUUCAACUGCAAAAUGCUGUCAAUUUAAUCUGCAAAACUUCAGAUUUAUUGCCAUUUCUUGUGGUCUCCAGAAACAGAAACAGGUUUGGCCAUGUUCUAAAGCAAAUAGAAGACUUGAUAGAUGAGCUUUCUCAAAGAAGAAGAAGAAGAAGAAGAAGAAGAAAAGAAGUUUGAAGGUCGCCAAUAGAAAGUAAACAUAAGUGAAGACUGGUUACCUGGGAGACAAUUAAAUAAGGCUUUGGCACAUGGGGAAGCAAUGUGGAAGCAAAGGCCUACAAAUUUGUGUUUGGGGAGCAUAGAGACGCAUCAUUUCUUUCAUGCAAAGGCAUCUCAAAGACACAGGAUGAAUGAGAUUUCAAGGCUCAAAGAUGAUGGAUGAGAACAAAGUUGAGGAUGUUGCAGUUUCAGGAAUCUGAAUGAAAGAAGAAAAAAAAAAAGCUUGAAUCCACACAGUUCUAUUUCAUGAGGUGGUAGAAAGAUAAGUCUCAGGUGAAAUGAAUGGAAACAAACCUCAAAACUUCAUGACCAACGAGUAACAUCUUGUCUUGUUCCAACUCUACCUUUAAAAGCACCUGGGCCUGAUGGCUUAUUUGCGCCUUAUUUCCAAAAACAUUGGAAUAAUGUUGGUCCUAAUGUUAUCAAAGCUUCCCUUGAUUUUCUAAAUUAUGGUCAUUUCUUGGAUGAAAUAAA